rnacentral:misc_RNA from 1 species
CGUUGUAUUAUACCGCAUAACUUUCUACUGGAUGUACCGAUUUUGAUAAUUCUUUUUUGUCGGAAAGGGGAUAUUCUUAGUUUGGUACUAUGAUAAGGAAACCAGGAUCUGAUGAUGGGAUCUCAGAGAAAUCGAGGGAAACUCUCGAAAAUCCGCAAUAACUUUUUACUGGGUUCACAUAUAAAUUUAAUCGAGAUCUGAUAACUACUUUUUGAGUAAUCUUUGAUAAUGCGUAGUUGCUUGACUAUUUUUUCGUCGAUCUACGUUGUAUUACUUGUCGAUGUAAUUGAAGUCGGUUUUUUUUUUCGUUUGCGAGC